AAGGGAGACCUAAUUCCGGUAGGAGACGAAAAAAAAGUAGUCCCUACCAAGAAUCAAUCCCAAAAGGUCGAAGCGAGGCAAGAUUGGCUUUCAAACUAGGUUCUGGGUUCAAACAAGACCUGAAUCAGGAACAAGGGCUAUUAGCUCAGGUGAUUAGAGCGCACCCCUGAUAAGGGUGAGGUCCCUGGUUCGAGUCCAGGAUGGCCCACCUGCACAGGUGGCAAAAACAAAGAAGCGAGGAAUCAGCACCUUAUCUUACUCAUAUAGUAAGAGAGAAUGCUGGCUCUGAGUAAAGAGUCCAGAGGAACCUUGAAAACUGCAUAGGGCCAGGUGAAAAAGCCAAAAAAGAAGACCGCAA
rnacentral:tRNA from 1 species